rnacentral:rRNA from 1 species
UGAGUAACACGUGGGCAAUCUGCCCUGCACUUCGGGAUAAGCCUGGGAAACUGGGUCUAAUACCGGAUAGGACCUUUAGACGCAUGUCUUUUGGUGGAAAGCUUUUGCGGUGUGGGAUGGGCCCGCGGCCUAUCAGCUUGUUGGUGGGGUGAUGGCCUACCAAGGCGACGACGGGUAGCCGGCCUGAGAGGGUGUCCGGCCACACUGGGACUGAGAUACGGCCCAGACUCCUACGGGAGGCAGCAGUGGGGAAUAUUGCACAAUGGGCGCAAGCCUGAUGCAGCGACGCCGCGUGGGGGAUGACGGCCUUCGGGUUGUAAACCUCUUUCACCAUCGACGAAGGUUCGGGUUUUCUCGGAUUGACGGUAGGUGGAGAAGAAGCACCGGCCAACUACGUGCCAGCAGCCGCGGUAAUACGUAGGGUGCGAGCGUUGUCCGGAAUUACUGGGCGUAAAGAGCUCGUAGGUGGUUUGUCGCGUUGUUCGUGAAAUCUCACGGCUUAACUGUGAGCGUGCGGGCGAUACGGGCAGACUAGAGUACUGCAGGGGAGACUGGAAUUCCUGGUGUAGCGGUGGAAUGCGCAGAUAUCAGGAGGAACACCGGUGGCGAAGGCGGGUCUCUGGGCAGUAACUGACGCUGAGGAGCGAAAGCGUGGGGAGCGAACAGGAUUAGAUACCCUGGUAGUCCACGCCGUAAACGGUGGGUACUAGGUGUGGGUUUCCUUCCUUGGGAUCCGUGCCGUAGCUAACGCAUUAAGUACCCCGCCUGGGGGAGUACGGCCGCANGGCUAAAACUCAAAGGAAUUUGACGGGGGGCCCGCACAA